rnacentral:rRNA from 1 species
AGAGUUUGAUCUUGGCUCAGGAUGAACGCUAGCUACAGGCUUAACACAUGCAAGUCGAGGGGCAGCAUUUUAGUUUGCUUGCAAACUAAAGAUGGCGACCGGCGCACGGGUGAGUAACACGUAUCCAACCUGCCGAUAACUCGGGGAUAGCCUUUCGAAAGAAAGAUUAAUAUCCGAUAGUAUAUUAAAACCGCAUGGUUUUACUAUUAAAGAAUUUCGGUUAUCGAUGGGGAUGCGUUCCAUUAGUUUGUUGGCGGGGUAACGGCCACCAAGACUACGAUGGAUAGGGGUUCUGAGAGGAAGGUCCCCCANAUUGGAACUGAGACACGGUCCAAACUCCUACGGGAGGCA